GUUUUAUGAUAUACUUUAUCAUUUUAAAGUAUAUUAUAAUGAAUAUUUAUAAUGAACAUUCACCAUAAAUAUUAAUAGUUUUGUAUUAAUGAUAUAUAUACUAUUUUCUUGUAUAUAAAAUUUUUUUAUUCAUAAAAAAAAUUGAUAAUAAUGAAUCCAUAGUUUCAAUAGAAAUGACAAUAUUUUUCUGAAACAAAUGAUAGAAAGAAGAAGAAAAAAAUAUUUUGCUUCUUUUUCUAUUAUAUUCCCCCCCAUUAUUAAUACAGUUUUAUUUUCAGACAAUUAUUGUGAUCGCGCGCAAUGCGAUCGGUAGAUUCAGUGUUUGUUUCGUAACAGUUUUUUAAUAUUUUAGAGCGCGAUAGCUCUAAUUAAAUUUACUUAUUAUAAUCGGGAAAUUAGAAUCAGUGUUUAUUCGCCGAUUGUAAAUUAAACGGACGCGUUAAUAGUUUUUUAUUUUUAUUUUUUUUAUUUUUAAUAUUCGUUUUCGGUACAGAGUAGAGUCAGUGUUUCUCUAAGGAAGAAGGCAGUCAUCCAUCACGCGAAGAGAUGCCUGACUUUGCCAGUGAACAUUUCUGUUGGAUUUCAAUUUUAAAUAACGUUUUGUGACCGCGUGCAAUGCGGUCUGUAGAAUCAGUGUUUGUUCCGUAACAGUUUUUUUUUAUUUUUUAUAUUUUAAUGUAUAAUAACUCUUAAUAAUUAAACUGUCAUAAUUAUUCGCGAAAUUAGAAUCAGUGCUUGUUCGUCGCCGAUGUUUUAAAUCGACGCGAUGGUAGUUUUUUAUUUUUAUUUUUUUAUUUUUAAUAUUCGUUUUCGGUACAGAGUAGAGUCAGUGUUUCUCAAAGGAAUAGGACAAUCAUCCACCACGCGAAGAGUUUCCACUUCCUGAUGAUGACUACUUUGGCGAUGACAUCUUGGGCCACGACAAUGCAGAUUCUUCGCAUCUAUCGGUGAGUCGCAU